rnacentral:misc_RNA from 1 species
GAAAUAAGUUUUUUCGAUAAAUUUGCGAAUUUUAGUUUUCUUAAUGCUACGAUUUUGAAAGAAAAUGACUUUCUAUUUUAUAAUCGGGAAAGUCAUUUUUCCUGGAUACUUAUUUAAUUAUCAUCUUUUUGACACAUUUUCUAAUCCUUUAACUUUUUCUUUUCUUUUUUCACUUAAUUUUUUACAAUAAAUUUCAUCCAUACAUAUGCAUCAGCUGAGAUUCAAUAAACUCAUAUAAUCCAUGGAUGUUCAAAAUAUAGAAAUUUAAUUGAAAUGAAUAGGCUCCUAGCUACUGCCAUUAUAAUUAUUGCAAGUUAUGAUAGCAGAGAAACUUUAAGACGAGACUAGCUAUAUAAUUAUAUGCUAUAAUGGAAAAUGAAGACUAAUUUCCUGGAGAGGUUCCCACUUGGGCAGUUUGUGCCGACACCUUUUUUUAUCCCAAACUGAUGUUUUUUGCUUAGUUCCAUAAAUAUUAUAUAUUGGGAAUUUCAUGAUCGAUAGAUAUGAUGAGUUUUCCAAAACAUUAAUUGCUUACCAAAUUGAAACUAUAAGGCCUUUCUUCUUUGCAUAACUAAGAACAUAUA